CGGGUUGCAGCAGCAGUGAGGAAUAUUGCACAAUGGGGGGAACCCUGAUGCAGCAACGCCGCGUGGAGGAUGACGCAUUUCGGUGUGUAAACUCCUUUUAUAUGUCAAGAAAAUGACGGUAGCAUAUGAAUAAGCACCGGCUAACUCCGUGCCAGCAGCCGCGGUAAUACGGAGGGUGCAAGCGUUACUCGGAAUCACUGGGCGUAAAGGACGCGUAGGCGGGUUGGAAAGUCAGGUGUGAAAUCCUACAGCUUAACUGUAGAACUGCACUUGAAACUUCUAAUCUAGAGUAUGGGAGGGGGAGAUGGAAUUAGUGGUGUAGGGGUAAAAUCCGUAGAUAUCACUAGGAAUACCUAAAGCGAAGGCGAUCUCCUGGAACAUUACUGACGCUAAGGCGUGAAAGCGUGGGGAGCAAACAGGAUUAGAUACCCUAGUAGUC
rnacentral:rRNA from 1 species